GCUCGCUCUGAGGCGGAGAGCGGCGCGCGCCCCCCGGCCCCACCUUCCCCGCGCGGGCAGAGCGGCGCGAGGCGCCGAGCGCGGGAAGGCGGGCGCGAGACCCCUCAGCCCCUCACUGCCCUCAGCCCCUCACUGCCCUCAGCCCCUCACUCCUCUCGCUCCCCUCCGCCCCGCCACCUCCUUCCCUGCACACACUGCUCAUGGCGCUUCCCCAUCCUUUUGGGCUCCAGCGCUGCGAAUGCUGUCGUUUCCUCCUGUGGUGGCCGGGUUUGGGGGGCGUGUGGCACAUUCCUGGUGUUGGGGGCUGCAGGGACUCGGCUCUCUCGGGCCCGGGAGACAGGAGAAGCCCUCAGUUUGUUGAGUAGCGAAGGCAGGUAGCUCAGGAAGGAGAGUUCACGCUUGUCUCAAGCAGCUACCUGCCGCCCUGGGGACCUGGAGCAGUGGCCCAGGAGGUUGUGCUCAAGUGACAUUGAGGAGAAACAGUGCAAUUUUCCAGCUGUAUCCAACACCAUUAGGGAGCUUGUCCUGGAUCACAGGUUGCUUUAAGAGACAGAAGACAUCUGUGUUGAGUCAUGGAGGAGUUUA